AAUUCAUUCGCGUUUCGAUUCGAAGUGGAACGUUCGUACGACGAACGGUGUGUUUCGGCGCAUCGUUCGCGUCUUAUGUUCUUCUAAUCGAUGUCGAACGCGUGCACUUUUCCUCUAGUAGGACGUCGCGAUCCGUUGGGUGUCUGUCUAAGACUCGAGGUGGAGCCCGCGUGAUUUUUUUAAGUCUUGCGGACCCUCGAUGUUCCGACAGACUGGCUCGACGGUACGCUAAUGGCGCGGGGCCGCUAAAUUUUAAUUAGCGUUCGACCCGUAACAAGCACGUUCCGCGUUAUGACGGAAAUCGGACCUAGUGCCGAUCCUGUCCCGGAACGACUGUUGGUUGCGCGGUUAUAUAUCUCGAACAGACCUCG
rnacentral:rRNA from 1 species